rnacentral:rRNA from 1 species
AAAUAGAUACCCGGGUAGUCCGACGCCGUAAACGAUGUCGACUUGGAGGUUGUUCCCUUGAGGAGUGGCUUCCGGAGCUAACGCGUUAAGUCGACCGCCUGGGGGGUACGGCCGCAAGGUUAAAACUCAAAUGAAUUGACGGGGGCCCGCACAAGCGGUGGAGCAUGUGGUUUAAUUCGAUGCAACGCGAAGAACCUUACCUACUCUUGACAUCCAGAGAACUUAGCAGAGAUGCUUUGGUGCCUUCGGGAACUCUGAGACAGGUGCUGCAUGGCUGUCGUCAGCUCGUGUUGUGAAAUGUUGGGUUAAGUCCCGCAACGAGCGCAACCCUUAUCCUUUGUUGCCAGCGGUUCGGCCGGGAACUCAAAGGAGACUGCCAGUGAUAAACUGGAGGAAGGUGGGGAUGACGUCAAGUCAUCAUGGCCCUUACGAGUAGGGCUACACACGUGCUACAAUGGCGUAUACAAAGAGAAGCGACCUCGCGAGAGCAAGCGGACCUCAUAAAGUACGUCGUAGUCCGGAUUGGAGUCUGCAACUCGACU